GCGGGGGCGGGGGCGGGGGCGUGGGGCAUGCAUAAUGGUAUUAGCAAUUUCUUUUCGCCCAAUUCGAUACCCUUUAUGGUCUAUAUACGUAUAUGGCCUGUUGCCUGGCCGGUUGCCGUCGAAUGCAAAUGUGCAUUUCGUUGAGGUUAGACAGAGAUUUUCUAACGGCCCAAUGCAAGGCCCGCUACUUAAAAUGCACACUAGAAUACUACCAACUCCACCAGCGUCAAGAAACGGAAAUCACAAAAACGUGCUUGGCAACAGGCUGUGUCGGCAUUUUGUUAGCUUGGAGAGCUUAGUGUCUUGACUCUCGGGAGCAUAUUUGAAUAACUAGUUCGAGCUAAGCACGAUACUUUCAAUAUGGUCUAUCACUCGUCUGUAUAUCUCGUAUAUCGCGUAUACGCCGCGUUGUAUGUAUGUAUAUACGUAUGCUGUACGUAUUGUGUAUUGCUUAACUUUGACAUUUCCAAUGAGCCGGAGCGUUGCAAUCUGCAAAACAGGUUAAAGCACAAAGCGAAUGCAAAGAAACCCAGCGACGGCUAUUGCAAAUUUAGCUCGCUCCAGCGACACAAUUUCUAUGCCAAAAGUCCAAACAUAUGGCGAGCCAGCGAAAGAGCAGAAAACCGAAGCAGAAAAAAAGCGCGCAUAAUUAAAUUUGUGCCCCCACACACAUAGUAUUGGCUUACAUGUGCGCCAGUCUCACUGGCUCCACUCUCUCUUUCUCUCUCUCUCUGUAGAUAUAGAUAGAUAUAUAUAUAGUUUCCCAUUCAUGUCGGCCAUUCAUGCGGAUUUACACGCGCUGCGCGUUGCAGGAUGCGCGGCAAUAGCCAUAGUGGAAAGUCCACGCGGAAAACCCUCUCUUAGCUUGCUCUUAUCGACCGGGUUUUCUAGCUGUGGCAGCGCCUCUCUCUUUUGGCCACUAGAGUGGGCGGCCUUUGGGCCAUUUGGCCAGCUGUUUGCGCUUUGUUUUGUUGACGUCAAUGCCAGGAUGUCGAAGGAGUUGACUUGUGGCCAAAGCCCCGAAGAGCAUGAAUUAUUCAUGGACCCGCUCGCUCGCAACUUACAAUAUGUUACAGCGUCUCCCUCUUCGGGGAGAGGGGCUGGGGCGCCAAGUGCCCCAACUGGGCGUGGGCGUUGCAACAUAUUGCCAGUGCCAAUGAAGUGCCACACGAUAAGUGUAACAGCAGGCAGCAGGCAACAGGCAACAAGGAAGCAACAGUAGGUUGCUUCUUGUGGGCGGAGAAGCACUGGAAGUAGCAUUUAAGAAGUCCUUAGGGAGCGGGGUUCCAAAGGACCUCCCUUUGAUAGGACAUUUUAUCUGGCACCAGGCGAGUAAGUGAUAAUCACUGUAGCUUUGAGGACUUAAGAUUAUAGUUUAAUUGGUGACAGAAAUUCGGUAAAAUUCGGAACGUGAUAGGUCUGUUACAGUAAGACUUAAAUGAAUAAUAAAAAUAUAUUUUUGAAUCUAAGAAAUAUUACAUAUUCGGCUCCUUAUUAGUUUCAUAAAAUCCCUUGCUAUAUUCAUAACUAAUAUGAACCUUUAAAUUAGCUCUAUCAUUUAUUUGCAUUCACGAUCUGAAAGUUAUUUGAGUUCUAGGACGUUAAAAAUUAUUCAACAAAUUUAUACACCCCUUUGACCUUAAGACCUUUUAAAGAUGUCAGGGCGGAGUUUCUUCUACUGAAUAUUCUGCAAUUCUAAUAACCAUAUGGACCUUAAAGUUCCUUUGGAAAAGUUAAGGGAGAGUUCUUAGAGCUUAUGGUCGCUGCCACACAUUUAAGAGCAUUUCUACGAUGAAGAAACCAGAAACGGGAAUUACUCGUCAUAAAGUGUAUUUUCACUAAAUAUUAAAGGUGCUUAGCAAAUUUCAAAUCUAAUAAAAUAAACAAAUAUAAAAGCCAAAUGGCGUAACAUGAUAUUUAUGGCAAAUCCCAAUUAAGUGCACUAAUCGGAUUCAUCAGAAACCCCAAUCUUGACUACACCGAAAUCCAUUAGAGAGUCAUAAGUUAGGGCCUAGAAUUCAGUAAUUACCCGGCGACAGGCACAUUUUUCAACAUUCAUGCAUUAUCUUUGCGAGAAGCCUUGAAAGUGAAUUCAUUAUGGGCUCUCCAAUAAGGUCGCCCAGCUCUCUGACUCAUCCGCGCAUUGCCAAAUUGGUUAUGUCUGCUUUGCAUAUAUGCAGAUGUACGAUUUUAGCUAUUCGACGCUCUUCGGCGAUUUGUGAAAGGCAUUAGACGGUCUCGAAGGCUGAGCACCCACUAACUCAAAGAUAAACGAUCUCUUUGGGAUCAGGAUAACCGAAGAUUGUAGGAGUUUCAACCUCCUCUGCCCCCAUAUAAAUUUUACUAAAUUUUUUGGCUACUUUCACAGUGCUUUCCGUUUGGCAAAUUGUUCAUGUGUACGUCAGACGUGCUGCUUACGUACUUUCCUCGCAAAAAAAGCGCACAAACAUAUGGUGGUGAUAAGCUAAGCCCGCAAUGAACCCCCACCCACCCUUUUCUCCCUUUCACCGGCUAUUUAUACACAUAUUAGGUUAUAUUUAUAGCCACCACUACGUCAUGGAAGUCUGGGAGACACUCUUACUUUGCCUUGGAGGCUGCAACAUGGCGGAUACGUAAUGCGUGAGUUCAUUGCGCGUUCUGAUUUAGCCGAUUUGAAGUCGGAUUCUCGGGCGGAAUUCCUGGCCAAUUCGCACUUUCUUUUCAAGGCAAAAGCGGAGGCAUUUGACGAUGGCCAUUUACAUCGUAGCCCCAUUACCAUUUACCACGCUCACGAAAAACGAAACCGUAGCAAUUUUUCAAGUUAAAAGGCAGUUCGGUAUCCGUGUUUUUGUGUUUUAUUUUUUUCGCUUUUUUUUUGUUUUUGGUUUCUGCUGUUUUUGAAUUGUGGGAGCACCUUUCACUUUACCAACACUCCAGCGCCGAAUGAUGCAGCCUGGGCAUAAAAAUUGGAAAGAAAUAAAGUCUCGGCUAAAAAUGCUGUGCACAACACAAAGAAAAAGCGAUACAUACAUAAUGAUCCGCACGCACACGGCUGCAGUUUUAUAAAUGUGAAAGGUUUUCGCUUGCUGCAACAUUAUUUAAUCAAUCCAAAUUGUGGAGCAAGCGAAAAAAAAAGCAAAAUCGAAAAAAAGUAUAGACAAAAGAGGCAGAAAAGGCAAAAGUAAAGCCCAAUGAAAAUACAGAGGUAAAGAGAAAGAAGAAAGAGGAGAAACCAAGCCAAACUAUAACCAGUUUAAUUAUUUUUAUGAAAUUGUAUGUUUGUGGCUCUUUUUUUUCACCCUUUCUUGGCAUUUUUUUCGGGAAGCAGAAGACCGAGCCGAAGACUGGAAAUUUGAAUAAGAUUGUAUAAUGGGUAAACCAAAAAACCGGGGGACCCGGCAACAACACCAACACCCAUGUGUGUGUAGUGUGUGUAUGCUAAUUUAAUGCCGUAAGAUAAAGAAAACCCCUCCGGCGGCUAUUUCGAUUUUAUUCCACCUUAAUCGUUUCCAAAGUGCCUGCUUGAUUGGGCUCCCAAGUGACGAGUGACGUGGGGAGUGCGAGGCAGAACAAUUCUCUGCACGUGACAUUCGAGCGAAGCAACAGGUUUUCCUCUGUGAAUCGCCAAUGAAAUGGGGUCAAAUGACUGCAUUUCACACAGGCUCCUCCGCCGUUGGUUAGGCAAUCGAAGCGAUUGCCCGGCCAAGUCAAGUCAACUCGAGCUUAGCCGCAUUCAAGCGGUUUUUGUGGCCCAAGAGCCACUCCAGCUCCAUCUUCAGCUCCAACUUGAGCUCGAACUCGAGCUCCAAGUCGAGCAUCGCACCACACACCACAUGCCACACCACACCGCUUUCCACUUGAGAAGGCGCCCUUAGCCAUUUCACCGGCGGUGCCGCGCUUUCAUUGGAACACACAAAUCGGAGAAGUGGCGGUACGGAGGUGGCACGGAGGCAGAAACCCACCUGGAACGUUCAACAAACGGUGCUACAGGUGCACCAUGAGAAAUAUUUCAAUAAUUGCUGCACCAGCUAUUGGAUUGCAUAAUCAUAGAUCGGGAUAUCACAGAUCGUUUAUAUGAAAUCUUUACCUAGCACUUUUUAUUCAUACCUAUGAUUAAAUUGUAUAUACCACUUUUACAUCAUUUUUAUGUAGCUACUAUCAAUUGUAAUAUUUGAAUGGAAAAGGCAUCAAAAAUAAUUGUAGUUGGUUCAUAAAUGGGAACACUAAAAUACAAACAAAUAAUAAGUACUAGUUAAUCCCAUCACACACUUCACUGAAGUUAUUGAACUAUUAGGCAGCAACGCCAAUAUUUACGUUGUGAUUAACAAAUUUCUCUGCCAAGGUCGUUGUGGCACACUAAACGAUCUUCGUUUGGGGCUUUCCAUAUAAUAAUGCUCUGGAUUUGGAUUUUAGUUUGAAACUGAUAAGAUUUGCGAUCAAAUUGACAUAAAUAGAAUGGAAAAUAAACAAAACUUAUCUAUCUUAGCACUAUGAUAUUGGGGUCUCCUUUGUCCUCAUAACUUAUGAAGUCGGACCAAAUAGGCAUGGCUAUAGAUAAGAUACGAGGAUGACCAUUGCAAAACGCUGUGUGCGUUUUCCCUCAGUGUAUUACCCCACCCCCGGAACACGAUGCCCCCACCUGAUCCGCAGUCGCUAACAAAAGAGGUAGCAAAUGCCUGCGAGCAUUUUUGCCGUCUUUUUCCGUUGUGUUUUUCUCCUGGCUUUCUUCUUUCUUUCAUCAACGGCAACAUACAUAUUUGUAUACAGACAGACAGACGGACAGACAGACAUACUUACAUACUUACAUAGAUAUAUUUGUAUUUGUACGACUGCCUGGGCAUCUGUAUUCUGUAUCUGUAUGUUCGAAUGGAAGUACGUGUUGGUGUGUAUCUGUGUUGCCCGUUUUGGUAGCAUUUUUCAAGAAUUGCUAAUUCUCAACAAUUCCCAAGGUUCGUUGAACUCAUCAUAAACACACACACACACACACCGCACACACAUACCCCACACACUGGGCACGCACACUCACAUUUUAUUUACGCUUCUCGGUGCUUUUAAGCAUUAUACUGUAUACUGUAAACCAUACUGCUUGCCGAUUCUUGGCCCGAUGCGCGGCGACGGCUAAAAUGCGGAGAAAGCACUUGUGUAUUUGUGUUUUAAUGCACUGCCCAAUGAAAUAUAAAAAAAUGCGAGGGACGGCCCACGAGUAUUAGCAUAAUGGGCAGAUCAUUAAUUCUCGGUUAUUAUCGUUGGCUUUCAGAAUGUACGAAUUACAGUAAAUAUCCACUGUGGUUUUUGGUGAGAAGAGAAGAGAAACUUCGACUAUUUCGGCACUUUCUUUGGCCCUUUGCCAUUUUUUGGUUAAUUACUGAAGACGUUAUUAACACUUCACCAUAAAAUAUUAAAGAAAAUACCUCAUAGGGUAUUAAAACUUGUAAUUACGAAUAAAUACGUAAACGACAGCGCUAAUUUAUGGCUUACAGUUGUUAAGUUGAAAUAGGUACAUCAGCUAAUACUGCUGCUACUUGGCAAUUAUCUGUUUUACUUUGAAUUUACAGUGCUACAAUACUAAAUGUCAAAUUCGUGUGUAAUUACUAUUGGUUUUUGCGAAAAACAUAAAGUCUUGCAUUUGCUAAAAAUUCCCAUUCACCUUUUUACAAUCGAGUUUAAUAAAUUAGGGGGCUGCUGUAUUUUUGGAGACUAUCCGUAAUUUGGGAGCUUCAUGAAAAAUUAAUUUUAUUAAAUGUUAGGUAAUGUGCAAUAAUAGAAAAUAUAGAGAUCCACAGCUCACUGCUGGAAUUUAUUAUAAAUUCUAUGGGACUAUAUUUUAAUACACCUUGAGAAAAAAGAAUUUGUUUACUGAAGAUGUACGAACUUGAAUUAUUAUGCUUUCCAAUAUAAUAUUCAUACAUAUUCGAUUGAGCUGAUUUUAGUGUCAUCCUUAAGAUAAGGUUAAGGUUAAAUAUGACCUGGAAUUUCUCGACAAGAAACAGGUUGAUCUUGCCUUGAUAAAACCCAGUUAACCACCCUCGUUCGAAAUUGCGAGUGCCGCAUAAUCAUUACAAAUUCUUUCAAAUGCACGUGUGCAAACGGUAAUCAAUGUGUGGACUCACGGUGUGUGCCUUGCUCGGUGGAUUUCGUGGAGGAACCCGAAGAAUUCGAUUAGCCAAAGACCCACAAAGACCCACAAAGAACCGGGAAGAAUCGUAACUGCCUACAUACAUGCGUACGUAUGUAUCUUUACGUACGACGGCGACGUUCCCUUUUUUUUAUGGCCAAAACUGGAUUCCACUUGGCUUGGCUUAGAAUGUGAACUUUGGUGAGACAGACAGACAGACAGUCAGUCACUCUGAUGUGUACAUAUGUAAGUAGUUUUACCCAUGUGCAUAUUUGCCACAAAAUGCCACCUCCAAAUGGGUCAGCAAUUUAUUGCCGUAGAUUGCGGGCGGCAAUUAAGCGAAUCCAGUCCGAAAAUCUGGCACAUUCGGGAUUACAUCAUCGGGCGGACUUUAGCUUCAAAAUAAAUACAUAUGUAUAUUAGUAGAUA